UACGUAGGGAGCAAGCGUUGUCCGGAAUCAUUGGGCGUAAAGCGCGCGUAGGUGGCUUCGUAAGUCCGUUGUGAAAGUCAAAGGCUCAACCUUUGAAAGCCGAUGGAUACUGUGAAGCUAGAGUACGGAAGAGGCGAGUGGAACUCCUGGUGUAGCGGUGGAAUGCGCAGAUAUCAGGAAGAACACCAACGGCGAAGGCAGCUCGCUGGGACGGUACUGACGCUGAGACGCGAAAGCGUGGGGAGCGAACAGG
rnacentral:rRNA from 1 species